rnacentral:rRNA from 1 species
GCAAGUCGAACGAUAUUCAAGACUUCGGUUUUGAUGAAAGUGGCGCACGGGUGCGUAACGCGUAUGCAACCUACCCUUUACUGGGGGAUAGCCCGGAGAAAUUCGGAUUAAUACCCCAUAGUAUCACCAGAUGGCAUCUGAAAGUGAUUAAAGAUUUAUUGGUAAAGGAUGGGCAUGCGUGACAUUAGAUAGUUGGUGAGGUAACGGCUCACCAAGUCUACGAUGUCUAGGGGUUCUGAGAGGAUGAUC